CUCACAUAUCAGCAAGACAGCAAUACGCACCCAAAACCUCUGCAGCUUCUUUUACUCCAUCUCUUAAAUUCAACCGUCGCCUCCUCCUCCCUCCUCCACCACUUCAAUCUCUUCCGUCCGUCUCCACCGCCUCCAUCUCCUCUUUCCUACCGUUGCAUCUCAAACAAUUUCACUGCCAUCCGAUUCUCCCUCUGACCACGACCGUAUUACGCCACCUCUACGUCUCCGCCGGUGAGGUUUCCUCCCCUUUCCUCCCCUGUACCACCCUGAAAUUAUCCCUACUUGUGGCAUAACCCUAUAACCCCGCUACCUAGAUUGACAUUCUUCCCGAUUCGACUCCCACUUUCUCUUCCUCCUUAUUAACAAAUACGGUUUCUCUCGAGCGUUUCCGGUCUCGAUUUCCCAUGGAAGGAGUAUGUUUUCCAGGUUAGCGAGUGAUGCUGAAAUGGAAAAGAGGAGGGCAGAUGAAUUUGAGCCUGGACCAGCUUCUCCGUUGAAGCCAGUUGACAGGUUUGGGUUUGUAAAACAGGACCAGAAUAACUCCCUAGAAGCUAAAAACAGGCCCACCAAUGAAGUGGAGAGGGGACCUAAAAUUGUUCGAAGUGAUUGUUUGCAUGAAUAUUUUAUCGUGGAAAACAGGGAGGAAAGGAGGAUUCGAAAAUGGAGGAAAAUGAUAGGUGUUGGUGGAAGUGAUUGGAAGCAUUAUGUCAGAAGGAAACCUCAUGUAGUUAGAAGGCGUAUAAGGAAGGGCAUUCCUGAUUGCUUGAGGGGACUUGUUUGGCAGUUAAUUUCUGGAAGUAGGGGUCUUUUGCUAAUGAAUCCGGGAGUUUAUGAGCAACUAGUGAUUUAUGAGACGUCAGCAUCAGAAUUGGACAUAAUUCGAGACAUUUCACGAACUUUCCCUUCACAUGUAUUCUUCCAGCAAAGGCAUGGGCCAGGACAAAGAUCCCUUUACAAUGUUUUGAAGGCAUACUCUGUAUAUGACAGAGACGUUGGAUAUGUUCAGGGAAUGGGAUUCCUAGCCGGUUUGUUGCUUCUGUACAUGAGUGAAGAAGAUGCAUUUUGGCUAUUGGUAGCUUUACUAAAAGGAGCUGUUCACGCACCAAUGGAAGGCCUGUACCAGGUUGGUUUACCACUAGUGCAGCAAUAUUUAUUUCAAUUUGAACAGUUGGUUAAGGAGCAUUUGCCAAAGUUGGGACAACAUUUUUCUGAAGAAAUGAUUAAUCCAAGCAUGUAUGCCAGUCAGUGGUUCAUAACCGUAUAUUCUUACUCAUUCCCUUUUCCCUUGGCUCUACGGAUCUGGGAUGUGUUUCUCUAUGAGGGCGUCAAGAUUGUUUUUCAAGUUGGUUUGGCCUUGUUGACAGUUUGUCAGAAUAACUUGUUAAAGUUAGCUUUUGAGAAACUUAUUCAUGCUUUGCGCAACUUCCCUGAGGAAGCAUUGGAUCCUGAAAAGUUAUUACCACUUGCUUUCUCGAUCAAGUGAAAUCCUGAACAAGGUUUUGAUGGGUACGAAGCUUGCGACAGGUGGAGUAGAGGAAAACGUGACAGUAAAAAAAAAAUUUGGUAAAGUGUUUUUUCCGGGUUAGCGUGCCAAUGGAUGUGGAUGGCGAGAUCAAGGCAAAUCAGGAUUAAAACCGAGCCAUAGAGUCUCUUAUACGGCGGCCAGACUUUGGAUGUGGAGAAAUGACGGGAAACUUGCGGGCUUGAGGGUGAUUUCGAGAGCUUAGGGAAGAUGUGCGUUGGAUUAACUCCUCCUUUAACAACCUGGAAGAGAUGAAGCUGACGAGUGGAUUAGAUCAGAGAUUGAACGGAGGAUUUGAGCUCAAGAAAGGAGAAGAGAUCUGGCUCUCAGAGGGGAUUUCAACGGAAUGCUUUGAGUGUGCAGGGUGGAACCUAAAACAACUGCUUCGUUGUUAUUUUAAAAGGUGACGGGGAGGCAAGCUCUUUAAUUGACAACAAGCCACCAGCGAAGAUCGUGGGUGAGGGACGUAUAGAGGUCGCCUAAAGCUCGUGGUCGGAGGUCCGGUUGGCGGCGAGGUCACUAAAAGAUUAGAAGAGCUCAAACAAGAGUAUGAAAAGCAACAUGGGAUCUCUUUGCCACAACUCACUUCUUGUAGUAAGCCAUUGAAGUCGCUGCAAUCCCCAGCAAAACCAUCAGAUGAUUGACUACA